CAGAGCCAGAAGACUCACAGGGCUGUACUUUGCACUGAAUUUCUAAAAGUCACUCCCGAGUUGGCCUGAAAUCAAGCACCAAGCAAAAGGUUAGGAAGCAGAGAAUGAAGUGACUUGCCCAAAUUUCCGCACAACCAGGAAUUCAAUCCCUGGCAGUCUGAUCCUGGAGCCUCUGCUACUAACCUAUUCUGUGGUGAUGAAGAGCCAUGGAGAUAGUGAGUAUAAAAAGGGAAGCAGCCACGCUGGACAAAGGACAAGAGAGGCAGCCUGUCCUUGACACCAUUCAAGGAAACUGUACCCCAGGGGUCUUGUGAGUAUCGCUGAGAAGAGGGGGUGAGGAAAGGAACUGCAUAAACAUUUGCUUCUGCUUGAAUGCUCACGUGCCAGCACCCCUCCACCAAUUAGGAGAGCCGUCUUGAAGGAUGAAGAAUGCUGCCUUGCCUUCUGAAAAGAAGACCGCAGGACAUGCGUUAAUGAGAGGAGGGGGAGUCACAGCUGACAGAAAAAUAAAGCUCUCAGCAGGAGCCCUGCGCCCCCGAGCCAGGCCUGAACUUGUUGACUGAGCAGCAAGACCCCUGCCGUUGGGCUCCCCCAACUCCGUAGCUGUUUCUUGCUGCAUCUUGGAAGACCGCUCUCUCCCCCUGUGACUGGCCUUAUAUGGGACAAUUAAUGAGCAGUGUAGUGACAGCAGACACCUCUCCAUAUUGUUCAGAGCUUGGGCUUGUAACCAGACAAUUCGCCACUGCCCUCCGGGUUCCAUUGAGAAGUGCCUUCUCAGCAGUUUGUAGAAGUAGGUUGUAAAAGCAAAGGGUACAGCGUUCACUGCAUCACAUCUUUCAUUUAUUUAGUCAUCUGCUUUGGUGAGAAGCAUAGAUUUAGAAGGGAGGGCUGUCUUGAUCUCAGAUGGAAUCCCUCCUUAGUCAGUAUUAGGACGCUCAUUAAAUUACUUUGGACAAGAGGGACUGGAUUCUGUUACCCACUAAUUCAGUGGUACAAAAGGAAAUCCCAUAAAGUAGUUUUUGAAGGGCUUUCUUCUACUUAACCUGUUUUGAUUCCAAGAAGAAGGUAUUAUUAUUCUCUUUCUAAAGAUGAGGAAACUGAGGCUCAGCGAUGUUUAUGUAAGGGCUGUACCCAGGGCCACUCGGGGUUGAAAUGGAAGAGGCACUACGGUUGACUUGCUUAUAAUCCUGGGCUCUUUCCUCAGCACCACGCUGAGUUGCCUGUUGCUCAAAGUUUGCUAAAGCCCAUAACUCCUCAAGGCUUAAAAGGCCUAUUGUCACGAGGCCCUGGGAGAUCAUCCAGGAAGAUCAGUCACUCACUAGGCGUUUCUUUUUUGAUUAUGUAAGUGCUCAGUACGCUGCUAGGCACAUGGAGAAAGGUUGGGUUUUAGGUCUCUAAUGAGUUUUCAGCCUCAUUGGAAGAUGAAUAUGUAAACAGAAUAUUUAGAGAACAAUUAAGUUCUUAAUUACAGCUAAAUAGUAAGCGUAGAGUUGCUCAGAAAAGGGAAGGAGACAGCGCAGGCUGAAAUUCUUCGGGAAUGGAGAGGGUGGUAUGUGAGUGGAUAUGGAGGGGUGGGUGGGUAUGGAAGAUGGAUGAGACACAGGAAGGCAAGAAAAGGGUUUUCUACCAACGGAAACACAGAAUUAGAACAGGAAAGGGAAGGUUCUGAGCCAGCCUAGAAGUUGGGGGUCAUGAUGUAUUGGUAGAGGGAGUGAGGUAUGUGUGUGUGUAGAUAUACAUUUCUUUGAUCUCUCUUGCUCUGCUUGGUUUUUUUCCUCUCACCAGAAAGCAUAAUUUAAAGGGAGACUGAGAAAGAAAAAAGCCACUUUUUCU